CUGCCAUGUGCCAGGCUUAGAGUUGGCUCUGGGGACCAACAGAAAGCUGAGCCAGCAAGGCCCUCAGCCUUCCCAGGGCUGACCGGCUGAUGGGGAGACACUGGACUCCCUGCCCUCCUAGACAAACGGACUCGCAGAGUAUUUUGAGAAUUUGAUGAGGGAAGCACCACCCAGGGUUGGGGAGGGAAGAGGAAUGCCUUCACGGAUGACAGGUGUGAUCUCUGUAAGAUCAAUUCGGACAUCUCUUAGGAGCACUCCAGAAUGUACGACAUGUUUCUAAAUAAAGGAGAAGGGGGCAGGUGGAGGCCACGUGAGAGAUGGACUGAAAGGCACCUGGACACUGGCUGCAGGAUCCAGAGGUUCAGGUCGGACGUCUGCACCGAAGGAAGACGCUGGGGAGCCAGUGAAGGUGGCUGAGCAGGCUGAACAUAACACCUUAAUUUUGAAGACAGUUACCCAGGUUUCCAGUUCAGGUCUAUCCUGUGCACCUAACUUCUCCCAGGAAUAUAUCACAGCUUCAUCUUCAUGCAUCGCACCGGUCCACCUUUCUUGGAGAGCAGGAUUAUUUGAUGUCGAGGAGGGCCCAAGAAACUUCACUGAAGAUUGAGAUGAAACCAAGUUCUCUGAGGCAUGGGGCAAAGGAAUAGCUAUAAAGGAGACCUGAAGAAAACAAAGUUUCUGAUUUAUGGGAGAAUUUUUGUGGAUGAGGAAUACAAUUUCCCUUGAUGAAGUACUGC
ensembl:lncRNA